rnacentral:rRNA from 1 species
UUGACCUCAGCUCAGUCGUGAAUACCCGCUGAAUUUAAGCAUAUAACUAA